UCGCGAUCACUGACGAUAGGCAGCUUCCCUU
rnacentral:piRNA from 1 species